GAGGGUACAGCUCAAGUGGUAGAGCACAUGCUUAGCAUGCAUGAGGUCCUGGGUUCAAUCCCCAGUACCUCCA
rnacentral:tRNA from 1 species